GUCUAUGGCCAUGCCACCCUGAACAAGCCCAAUCCCAUCUGAUCUCGGAAGUUAAGCAGGAUUGGGCCUGGUUAGUACUUGGAUUGGAGACCACCUAGGAAGAUCAGGUGCUGUAGGCG
rnacentral:rRNA from 1 species